GUGCCUCGGUAGCCCAUAUAACAAAACUGGGAUGAUACAGAGAACAUCAAUAUGGCCCACACACAGGAUGAUGCACAAAUUCAUGAUGCGUUCCAUAUUUUC
ensembl:snRNA U6 U6 spliceosomal RNA